rnacentral:rRNA from 1 species
ACAUUGCAAGUUUUAGGAUACAUAGUGAUUCUUCUGCAGUAGCACUUAUUGAAGCCUUUGCAGCCUCGCAAGAGGUCUGUACCCGCGACUUAAAAUAAUGGGUCGGCGUCUUCAGUUCACCUGGGAUGUGCAAGUCAGCGGCCUCCGCUGGCAACACCUUCGAAUUGCGGGGAUACCCUGAAGCCUGGAUCUACCAACUUAGCAGGGAAAUCUUGCUAAUGGCCUAUGUUAACAUCAUAGGGUAGGGUAAAAAGGAUCUUGGAUGUGCUCUCUGAGCUGAUGGGCGAUCCGCAGCCAAGUCCCUAAGGCGGCCUCUCUGGUGGGCGGGCUAUGGGAAAGGUUCACAGACUAAGUGGAGGUGGGUAGGCCCGUGAGGGUCCUGCUUAAGAUAUAGUCGGGCCCCUGGGGAAACCUGGGGGGUAAGCUACAUGCGCUAUAUACCGUUCCGUAGGUGAACCUGCGGAAGGAUCAUUACCGAGUACCGGGUCUCUCAGGCCCUUACUCCCACCCUUUGUGUACCUAUCUUACCUUUAGUUGCCUUGGCGGGCACCUCUAUCCCUAGAGGUCCCGCCAUGGGAACGCUUAUUAAACUCUUGUCAACGGUGUAGUCUGAGUAUAAGUUUAAUAAAUUAAAACUUUCAACAACGGAUCUCUUGGUUCUGGCAUCGAUGAAGAACGCAGCGAAAUGCGAUAAGUAAUGUGAAUUGCAGAAUUUAGUGAAUCAUCGAAUCUUUGAACGCACAUUGCGCCCUUUGGUAUUCCGAGGGGCAUGCCUGUUCGAGCGUCAUUUCAACCCUCAAGCUCUGCUUGGUAUUGGGCCCUCGUCCGCCUAGGACGUGCCCGAAACUCGUAGGCGGUAGUGCCCAGCUCCUGGCGUAGUCAUGUUACCCGCUCUGGAGGACUUGGGACCCACCCGCCGGAUAACCUCUAUUUCUCUAUGGUUUGACCUCGGAUCAGGUAGGGAUACCCG